rnacentral:tRNA from 1 species
GGAAUUGUGGCUCAACAGUACAGUACCUGCCUUGAAAGCAGAAAACUGGAUUCAAACUCCAAUACCA